rnacentral:rRNA from 1 species
UCGAUGAUACGCGAGGGACCUUACCUGGGCUCGAAUGGUUAGUGCAACUGUGAGAAAUCACGGGUUCCUUCGGGACGCUAAUCAAGGUGCUGCAUUGAUUGUCGUCAGCUCGUGCCGUGAGGUGUUGGGUUAAGUCCCGCAACGAGCGCAACCCCUGGGUUUAGUUACCAGCACGUAGUGGUGGGGACUCUAGACCGACUUCCGGCGUAAUCCGCGAGGAAGGUGGGGAUGACGUCAAAUCAUCAUGGCCUUUAUGUCCAGGGCUACACACGUGCUACAAUGGGUCAGUACAGAGGGUAGCGAAGCCGCGAGGUGGAGCCAAUCUUUAAAAGCUGAUCGUAGUUCGGAUUGGAGUCUGCAACUCGACUCCAUGAAGUUGGAAUCGCUAGUAAUCGCGCAUCAGCCAUGGCGCGGUGAAUACGUUCCCGGACGUUGUACACACCGCCCGUCAAGCCAUGGGAGCUGAGGGUACCUGAAGAUGGUGACUNUACGGGGAGCUAUCUAAGGUA